CUGUUCCAAAGGACCCAACACCCUCUUCUGGCCUCUUAGAGCACCAAGCAUGCAUUUGGUACAAGACAUACAUAAAGGCAAAAUACCCAAACACAUAAAAAAAAAUAGAGCUUACAUGUUACUAAAUUCUAUCUGGAACCUCAUGGUCCCCUGGAGAUCGGGAAGGAAUAUUUUAUUACGUCAACCAUAAAAGCGACUGAGACAGAAAGCUGGUGUCAAGAGCCGUGGCCGCCAUUGCUGUUGAGAAGUCCCCCAUGUGUUUCAUAGGAACUGGUUUGUGGGAGGAACGUGGGAUGGCUUGAGCGGAGCCCAAGAAACAGGUAAACAGCUUAGAGGGAGAUUCUGCUGGGAGUUUACCUGGAUGACGUUUCCUUUUAAAACAUGAAGACAACAGAGCCUGCUUAGAGCUUUCAGAGAGCUGGUCAGUAGUUAGAGGUUACAUCCUGCUGAAGAACUCAGCCUCCUCCCUCCUGCCCUGAAAUUUUAGUGAGGUGGACUCAGGAGCAAAGGACUAAUUAGUAAUUAACUAUGGCCGAAUUAUCAGGACAGCACAGUACAAAAGCUAUGUGGUUGCUGCAUGGAGUUGAAUGAAUGUUAUAGUGGAAAGCCAA
rnacentral:lncRNA from 1 species